CUUGUUCCCUACUGCCCUGCCAGAAGGAAGACAGAGGCCAGGGAAUGGCCUCCCCAGGAAAGCAGGCAGUCCCACCAAUGGCCUUUGCCCAGACUCCCAGGACUGCCAGAGGUAGGUAGAUAAGGUCACAUGCUGGCAUGCAGCCCAGUCCAGAGGUAAGUGGAUAAGUUCCCACUCCUGGGGGUGGUGGGCCCCAGAAACUCAGUGUCCAUCUGCCACCCUUCACUAGAAACUCUCUUACUAACUUGCUCGCUGUGAGGGCAGGGAUAGAUCAUCUCAUAUCAUCUCUUGUUCCCCCACAGGCUAAACUUACUGGUGAUACUCAGUGAGGAUUUGCCAAACCAAAAAGUUCCUAGAGAACUGAGAGACACUGAGAAGAACUGGAGGAACAGCAGAAAACUCCCUGCCCUUACCCAGCCCUGCUACUCGGUGCUCUAGGGAAAGAGGAGAGAUUGGAAAAUGAUAGGCUUUUGCCAGGUGCUGGGCACCCAUAGCCCGGGCCCAGAUGCUAGCCAGAAUUGUGGGAAUGGAAGAUGGUGAACCCCUCAAAGAAGGGCUGCAUGGAGGCUGGCUGUCACCCUCGGAGCUGAUCCCAGAACCACUGGAAAGGACCUCAGGAGAACACCCCCAAGCAGUGACCCCAGUUGUGAAGCCUCUCAACAGUCUUGAAAUGAGGUUCCCAAUCUGGGGCUCCCUCCUUCUCUCCCAGACACACAGAAGACAGCAUCUCCCCCUACUGGGGGGAGCUGGAAAGCCAUCCAGGAGGCAAGGCCAAUGCCACAGGCCUCACUCAGAAGGCCCAUCCGGGCCAGGGCCCAAGCUGGUAAGAUACCUCCAGCUACCCCACGCUCCUACCAGCUCUGGCAGAAGUGACUGCAAAGGGAACCUGGACCACCGGCAUCUGGAAAGGCGACCCUAUAAGCUCAUCUGUGCUGGAUAGAUUAUUCAACCUUGUAUUGCCAGAGAGUAAAGUCCUAUAGCUAGGAAAUAUCCUUCAAAAGCCAUUACUAGAUACCUCUGAGCAGCCUCUGUGCCGUAGGCCAAGGGUUAGACCUUGACCUCCAUGUGAAGCGGGAAAUUGAGAUGGCUCCCAAAAGGGUUAGGGUCAUAGCUCAGAGGAAUGGAGCAGCUGGCACUACUGCCAGACACAAAUGACCUGCUGAUGCAAUGUCCAGGUGAGGCAGGAGAGGAAAUGACGAAUACCCACCAGACCUCUGCUGUCCCCUUGUCAACCCAGCCUAGAGGAGGAGGCAGGAAGCCAGGGAGCUCAAGAGCCCACCUGGCACAGCCCCUACAGGUUGAAUGAAGGAAAGGGCAGAGGCAGGAGGACGUGAGGGGUAACCACAAACCUACAGGAGGGAUGGUGGGGAUCAACGUGGGGGUGACCCAGACUUCUCCCUCCCUGCUGCUGCUUCUGGACCACCCUACAGAUGAGCUUGCAUCCCAGGCUCCAAUUUCCCUGUCUCUUAAAGAAGGAAAAGUACCCAUCCACCCUACAGAAAAAGAUGUGGGGACAGGACGGGCCAUGGAGGGUUAAAGUUGAGCAACAUGGGCUCUGAGCUUGUCGACUGUGCAGGAGACAGUUAAAGAGAGAAGGCAGUCAUUACUCUGACCACACUGACCCAUGACCCUCCUGGGAAACUCCUGAGGGUCCAAGUCAGGCCACUUGGACACAUCCUCAUGGGCACACAUCCAGACCCACCCCAACAUAAAGCUGCCUGGAGUCCCACCCAUACACUAUUUCUGGCAGCACUGGGCAGGGUCCUAGGAGCAGAAGAGAAUGUGAAAUAUCAGAGGAAAAGACCCCAAAUUAGGAAUCUACCAUGUCCAGGGUCCAAGAGGAUGAGAUCUAAUCUACCUGGACUCUGCAGAGUUAAGACUCGUCUAUAAACAUGUUCCCCCACUCCCACCCCAAGCCACACACCCAAACACAGAGGUUAAGGCCCAGGCCCAGCAAACCUCCACCAAGAAAAAAAUAUGAACUACAGAAGGAAAGAAGCUGCCACCACAAAAAGGAAGCAGGGCAUUCAGCUAUCCUGGGGAAAUGCUUCCAACACCACCUCAGGCCACCCAGAGAAAUUCUGGGGUAUGUACCCCCUACAGGCCUACCUACCCUGGCCAAUAAGGCAAGGCAGAACAGGGACCAAAGGCCCCCAUACUGAAGGCAGGCUCAGGGCAGAGGUGGACAGAUGCCCUCCCAGGGCCAUCAAUUCCCACAACUACCUCUGUCCUUUCCUUUCAAUGCUCCUCUACUCCUGACCCCCUACUUCCCGGACAGCUGAGACACCAGCAGUCGGCUGGUCUGGGCGGGAAACCCACACAGCCCACUGCAUCCAAAGUGGCCCCAGGGGGCUCUUCUCCAACCUCCCAGCUCUUACCCGACUUGUUAGGAGAGUUCAUGCCGGCUCUGGGCCCGCAGGAAGCUGGCGUUGGGGGCUGGGACGGGAGGGGAUGGAGCUGCGGUGAUGUCAAGAGAGACAGACGAUAACAGACAGAUGGACGGGACAGGAGCCCGGGGCCACCGUGCCUCUAAUGCCCAUCCAAGGCCAUCCUUCGGGGUGAGGCAGUCAGGCACUCAGAACGGCAUCCCUGGGGAGAGAUGGAGCAGGGUUAGAGGCCCCCAACUCAGGAAUCUGGGAAUCAAAGGAGACCUUGGAGUGAUCAGCUUACACCUUCCUGGGGGCACAGAGGGACGGAGCAGAACUUGACCAGAUGCUGGUAUCCUCUCUUCCUAAUUGAUAAGGUUCCUGAUGCCCAAGGGACAGGAAAUGGCUACGGUGGUCACAGCUAAACAAAAUCCUUUGCAGGCAUGUCAGUUUCCUCUGCCAGGUGGGAAGACGUUACAGACUACCAGGGGUACCUGAUGUGAGACUAAGUAUGUACCAAAGAAACGCAGGAGCUUCUUGGCUUCCCUCCACGGAAGUAGGGAAAUGCAGAGCUGACCUGGGGUUCUUGGCAGAAGUUAAGGGAGAGCCUAAGCUGGGGACUCCCAGGGGGAGAGUCAUUGCCUCCCUAUUAUCUGAACCAUGUACCACUCAACUCUGGAAAUAUAGAUGUGCUUCUGUC